UGGCGGACGGGGGAGUAAUGUCUGGGAAACUGCCUGAUGGAGGGGGAUAACUACUGGAAACGGUAGCUAAUACCGCAUAACGUCGCAAGACCAAAGAGGGGGACCUUCGGGCCUCUUGCCAUCGGAUGUGCCCAGAUGGGAUUAGCUAGUAGGUGGGGUAACGGCUCACCUAGGCGACGAUCCCUAGCUGGUCUGAGAGGAUGACCAGCCACACUGGAACUGAGACACGGUCCAG
rnacentral:rRNA from 1 species